GCCAGGAGCACAGAGCUCCGGCUGAGCCUUCCAAGGCAGCCAGACAGAGGGAAGGCUCAAUGAAGUAUUAGGUUAAUGUUAUGGGCAAUCAAAGCAAGCUGAGAGGAGGAGACGGAGAGGCAGAAGAAUGGAAAUCUUCAAACCAGGAAAAGGUUUCGUUUACUUUUGGUCCACUCCAGGCUUCUUCGCUCUGCUCUGAGCCCUGGAAGGUGACUCCUGAGGACUACAUCAGUGGGCUCCCUUACCGUCUGGCUCUGGGCGAGUCUGGCCAGUGGAAACGUCCACAGGAGAUGAUUGGGCCCAAAGUCCCGGCUUCCUCCUGUUGCUUGCCCUGAGGUACUUCACCACCCCUAAUCAGAAGCACACUUGGGUAAGCAGACCCUUCAUUAAGCAGUCUUCAAUUGCCCCCUUGGAGCGUGCCAUCUGUUUCUUGCCAAGACCCUGCCAGGAUGUGACUUCAGACCAAGUGGUCAGGUGAGGCCUUCCUGAUGAGCACUGAGCUCUAAGGGCUGAGCACUGAGUCUUCAUCUACAGAUGCCUGGACAGUGUUCAAGUGGUGGAUGCGUCCUCAGCAUGUGAGAACGAUAGUAAAGUAACUAGGGAGGCUGAGACACCCUGAGAAAGACUCAGAAUGGUAGAUGAAUGUGGAGGAGUAGCCUGGGUCAAAUCUUGUAGUCAAGGGAAGGAGUUUGCAUUUUUUUGAGUAAGGUAGGGUUUUUGAAAGAUUUUGAGUAAGAUAAUGACAUGGUCAGGUUUAUGUUUUAAAAGAAUCACUCCGAGAGCACACUUAUCAUGAUGAGCACCGAGUAAUGUAUAGAAUUGUUGAGUCACUAUAUUGUACACCUGAAACCAAUAUAACACUGCAUGUUAACUAUACUGGAAUUUAAAAAAAUUAAAAAAGAAUCA